rnacentral:tRNA from 2 species
GCCUCCUUAGCUCAGUGGUAGAGCGCGUCACUCGUAUUCCACACCGGCUUCGGCUGUCCGGUAUGCGUCAUGAUGAGGUCAGUCGUUCAAACCGGCUAGGAGGCA